rnacentral:rRNA from 1 species
CGGGGGGAGCAAGCGUUGUUCGGAUUUACUGGGCGUAAAGGGCGGGUAGGCGGCCACCGCAAGUCGGUUGUGAAAUCUCCGGGCUUAACUCGGAAAGGUCAAUCGAUACUGCGGGGCUAGAGUGCAGAAGGGGCAACUGGAAUUCUCGGUGUAGCGGUGAAAUGCGUAGAUAUCGAGAGGAACACCUGCGGCGAAGGCGGGUUGCUGGGCUGACACUGACGCUGAACUGCGAAAGCUAGGGGAGCGAACGGGAUUAGAUACCCCGGUAGUCCUAGCCUUAAACGAUGAAUGCUUGGUGUCUGGGGUUUUAUAGUCCCCGGGUGCCGUCGCUAACGCUUUAAGCAUUCCGCCUGGGGAGUACGGUCGCAAGACUG